UUUUUUUUAACCCACAUUAGAAAAGUUUAUAACAUUUUUUGGAAUGUUGUGUGGUUUUGUUUUGUUUUUGUUUUUGUUUUUUAGACCUUUUUUUUUUUUUUUUUUUUAAAUGACGAGAGUUAACAUAUCAUCUUUAUAUAAACGGAUAUGUGGAUAUCCUGAAUUUCCACAUAUACAUGUAUGACCUGUCUGAGCAGGCUUUGCAAGUGAAAAAAAUCUAAGUGGAGAGUUAACAAGGAAAACAUUAGUUGAAAUGCUAUUUCAAAUCCAAGUGGUUAUCAUCUGACAACAAUAUGAGAGCUGAGAUUUCAACUUUUCCGAAAAUAACCUAGGAUUUUCAAAUUUAAAGCACUAGGAGGUUGAAGGGUGUCCAUUAUUUAUUGAUGUAGUUAGUAAGUAAGUAAGUAAAAUUUUAUUUAUAUAGCACAUUUCUAGAUAAAAGAUCACAAAGGGCUUCACAAGGUAUAAAACAAAAACAGACAAAAGUUAACAAAAUGCAAUUCUAAAAAGAUGUGUUUUUAGUUGUUAUUUAAAAGUGACCACUGAGUCUGCAGAUCUUAAGUUCCAAGGAAGAGAGUUCCACAGUCUGGCGGCCACAGUGGCAAAAGCUCUAUCACCCUUGGUUUUCAGCCUUGUAUGCUGAAUAAAAAGUAGGCCCUGAUCACAAGACCUCAGGGACCUACUAAGGACAUAGGGCUGUAAAAGUUCAAUGAUGUAGGCUGGUGCUUGUCCUUGAAGAGCUUUAAAUGUCAGAACCAGUAUCUUAAAAUGGACUCUGAAUUCAACAGGGAGCCAGUGCAGCUGUAUAAGCAACGGUGUCACAUGGGAGUACUUAGAUGUUUUUGUCAGAAGCCUUGCUGCAGCAUUUUGGACAAUCUGCAGACGCUCCAGGGAGUUUUUGUUUAGACAUGUAAACAGUGAAUUACAGUAGUCCAAAUGUGAUGAAAUGAAUGCAUGAAUAACAAUCUCCAGUUCAGUAUGAGAUACUAUAGGGCUCAAUUUAGAGAUGUUUCUUAAAUGAUAGAAGCAGGACCGAACCAGAGAUUUGACGUGAACAUCCAGAGUAAGAGCAGAAUCAAAGGUUACCCCUAGGUUCCUGAUAGACAAUUUCACAAAUGUUGAAAGAGGACCAAGAGCAUUCAUUAUGUUAGGUACAUGUCUGUCUGGAGCACAUACAAGAACUUCAGUCUUUUCUUCAUUAAGUUGGAGGAAGUUGUCAGCCAUCCAACCUUUGAUGGAUUCUAAGCACUCAUUUAGAAUCUGCAGCUUAGAAACAUCUUCAGGUUUAAAAGAAAUAUAUAGCUGGAUGUCAUCUGCGUAACAGUGGUAGCAAAUGUCCUCAAAGGGGCUCAAAAUAUGCUGGAGAGGAAGUAGAUAGUAGUAGAAAACAAUAAGGGCCCCAGCACAGAACCUUGUGGCACACCAUAGGACAGGGACGUGGAAGAUGACCUGUACUUCGAGACCGCCACAGAAAAGUAUCGUUCAUAGAGAUACGAGGAGAAACACUCUAAGGCAGACCCAGAUACACCAACCCAGUAUUUCAGCCUUUCAAGCAAAAUGUAAUGGUCAGCGGUGUCAAAGGCUGACGUGAGGUCCAACAUUAGGAGUACAGAACAUUUUCCAGCAUCGUGUUGCAUCAGAAUGUCACUGGAAACUCUAAGAAGGGCUGUUUCAGUAGAAUGAGCUCUAUGAAAGCCAGACUGAAAUUUGUCAAAUAUAUUAUGUUUGUCUAAAACUGCUGUAAGCUGCUUAGCCACAACCUUCUCUAAUAUCUUAGCAAUUAACGGUAUUUUUGAGAUUGGUCUGUAAUUGCUAGUGAGAGAUGGGUCCAGCGUGGGUUUUUUUAACAGGGGGUGUAUAGCAGCAGUUUUAAAAUAAGCAGGGACUUUACCAGACCCCAGUGAGGUGUUAACUAUGGUGAGCACACAGGGACCAAUAGAAUGGAAGACAUUUUUGAAUAACGAUGCGGGUAAAAUGUCGAGUGAACAGGAGGAUGCUUUCGUUGCAUUAACUAUUUUUACCAGCUCUGAUAAUGAGACGGGUAAAAAGCUUUCUAAAAUGACAGGCCGAGCUGGCGUAGGAACUGACAAUGCAGAUGCUGACGGGGAAAAUUUUUUCUUACAUUACUAAUUUUUUCUAGAAAGAAAGAGAGAAAUUUUUCACAGUCUUCCUUAGAAGAAAUAAUGGCAACAUGUGGAGCAGGAGUAAUAAUAUCAGUAAUAGUGUCAAAUAACACAUUAGGAUUACCUCUGCUCUUUGCAACCAGAUGAGAAAAAUAAGCAAGCCCUUGCAUCUCUAAUUGCAUUGUUAAAAGAGGCUAAAAGAUCCUUUAGUAAAGGAGAUGAACAUUUAAAUGAGUUUUCCUCCACAAGCGCUCAGCUUUACGACAAUCACGUUUUAUGGAUCGGAUAUUGUCAUUUAGCCAGGGUAAGGACUUGGAAACAGAAACUGGUCUCAUUUUAACUGGACAGAUUUCAUCUAAAAUCGAAAAACAAUGGUUAUUAAAUAGAUCUGUUAAGAAAUCAACGCCGUUUUGCGGGGAUAGAGUUAAAUUAAAACCAUCCGAGAAAUUCUCCGCUGCGGAGGAAUUUAUGAUGCGCGAGAUAAUUGUCCAUUGAACAGGAGACAGAGGCUCGUGAAAAGACAUGUUAAAAAGAAUACAGUGAUGAUCAGAGAUAAAAAUUUCCUCAGAACAAAUAGAAUCAAUAUUCAAACCCAAAGUAAAAACAAGGUCCAGUGUGUGUCCUUUGUUAUGUGUGGGGCCUGACACAUGCUGCGUAAAAUGAAAAGAAUCCAUAAUGUUGAUAAAACCUCUGGCAAAGAGGUCAGAGUCAUCAUCAACAUGCAUGUUAAAAUCCCCAACUAAAAGCAGUCUGGACAACCUCAUAGUAGAGGACAGGAAGUUGCUGAACUCCGAUAAAAAUAAGCUAUUUGAACCAGGUGGACGAUACACCACAGCACAAUAAAAAGGAUCCUUAUUUCCGAUUUUAAUCAGCUGUAGUUCAAAUGAAAGAAAAUGUCCAACUUUCACUGAGCGGCAGGAGAAACGGCCCUGAAAUGCCACAGCGAGACCUCUUCCACGACCAGAUCCCCGAGGCUGGCUGAUGACGGAAUAGCCGUUCGGGCACAGUUCAAUGUCCCGCUGCCAGGUCUCAGUCAGAAAUAAGAAGUCCAGUUUUUUAGAAGCUAUAAAAUUGUUAAGAACGAACGAUUUAUUAGUCAAUGAUCAGGCAUUAAAAAGCACCAUGUUCAGCGGGGUGGAAGCAUCAUUUUUAGCAGCGGCUCGAGUUAAAGGACGUAGAUACUCGGGGUUUGAGCCUUCACGCUCGUAGAUUCCACUCACCGAGGGGAUGAAAAGCCAGUCAGCAGGAGAGUCUGGAUGAACCCUCCUGAGGCAGCACGGUCUUGGAGAGCCGGGCCCUGCGUAUCCAAGCAGGUACGUGGAAAACAAAUUCCUCUCCAUGGAGCUAUUCUGAGCAUAGGUAACAAAGCACGCUCAACAUCGCUUUCCAGUCAGACCCCGCCGCCAGAAAAGCCUAAGCUUCACCUGGAUACCUGCUUUUCUUCCUCUCCUCCUCCAUGGUCUACGGGGACCGCUGAGGACGCCGGACGAGGAUCCAGCCACCGGCGGAGGGUGGAAAGUGCCAAAGGAGGAGGAGGAUGAGACAUCUUGAGCCAUCACUGAAGAUCGGAUGGAUAACAGUGUCAAACGAUCAUAAACCAAGGAAGCCAGUACAUCAUUGAUACAAAUAGAAAACAGCAGAGCAGAGAAAAACAGCACGACAAAAGAGCGUGACAAACUGCACCCGGCAGUGGCAAAGCCAAACACAGGCGCCAUCAUACCGGAAGCUGCUCGGCACUGACACUACCAGAAAUUGUAGUUCCUCUGAAAAUCAUUUACUUCUGGAUUUAUUUUGAUUUCUUGUUCCAAGUCUUAUUUAAUGUAGCAUGCUAUUUAAUUAGUGAAUUAAAGUCGUAUUUAGAUUAUGAAGUUGUUACCUUGUGACUGACAUCUUGCUCUUCUGUUCUUAGGCUGCAUGCCCUUGACCUUGAUUUAAAAAUAGUCAAACUUGAGACGGCCAAACUAAACUCCAGAUUAAUUAUACAGUCUGUAUAACUUAAUAAAACUUUUGAAUUGUUUUUAUAAGCAUAAAUUAACUAGACAAUGCAAUUUCUAAAUAAAUUGUGGAAGGUUUGUUACUA